AGAAAGUACAGCAGGUGAGGAACAAAUUCAUUCCCUGAGGGCAUUUCCCCAGAGAGUGCCUCAAGAGAAUACAGCAAUAUGAGUAGCAAAAACCUUGAAGAGAAGUAACAAUAAACCCUCAAGCAGCCAUCAGUUUCUCUUGAAACUGGCAACUUCUGACCAGUGCAUAUAAUGAAGUUAUGGAUCUAUCUGUAUGUGUAAAUAAAAUCAGAGAGACCAUCCUACUCUGUAAUUUCAAAUUAGAAAGUAACCUACGUACAAUCACAUGUGAUGGUUGUGAUUUUUCUCCACACACACUAGAAUGACCCCUUUUUUUCCUAUGUAAUGACUUAUCUUUUUAUUGAAUGGUUGGUUUGGACAGGUUUCUUUUUUGUUUAGGUUGUGCAUUGUGACUCUUAUGUUAUCUGCACUUCGUAUUGUUAGGACAACUUGCCUGGGGAGGUGGGGAGAGUUGACAUUGGUUUUUAUUAUCAAUUUUAUUCACUUGUUCUAGGCACUGGGUAACAGGUUUCCUAGUCACAGCUGUGCAUGAAAGAGCUGAGAAUGGGCUGUGGUGGUGUCUGAGCCCCAUCAUGUACCGUACCUGAGGUCAUCACUGCAAAAGCAACGAGUGCUGCUGUGGCUACUCUGCUUCCCAUUCCAGAGCUUUCUGGGCGUGUAUUAACUCGAGGGCUUCUGUAUGCUACGCUGUAUGUCAUAGAUGCCUUUUGUACUGCAGAGUGCAGACAAGGACAGUGCUUGAAAUUUGUGCGCUGACCUUUACUGUCACAUGGGAAGACUAUGCAACAGCUUCUCUGCGUCAGAAAGGUUUGUCUAUUCUGACACACAGGGGAGUGGCUUUCACUUUGGGUUGGCUUUUGUACGAGUACAGCCUGCAACACCUACUGUAUGCAGGGGUGGCUUGUAUUUAAGUGAACUGUGACAAAAUCUCUUUGAUAGAAGAAAACAAAUGAAAAUGCUUUUAAGAUUUAAACUGCAGUUCGAUUCCAACAAAAAGGAGCUCAGAAAAACACAAACGUUUUAAAAACAGCUCUAUGGCUGUUUCCUUGUUGUAUGGGUACAGCGAAAAUGUAAUGGGUACAGCGAAAAUGUAGUAGGUUUAUCUGCACAUCAUGUCUUGUGUGUCUACAGGCUGCUGUAACCUUUAUGUGGCUGGGUUUAUAAUUAAUUGUGAAAUGGCUGGACAGGCCUGACACAAAAUGAAAUUGUUAUCUGGGGCUUGCUGCAAACCCUAUGGCUGGUGUCUGAGGUCUGCCGGGUUCUUCUAGUUUCCUCUUAAAGAACACUGACAUCCAUGUCAGGACUGUUAGCUGAGUUGCCAACAUGAAUGGAAGAGAAACUGUGCAGCUCUGUGGGCAGUGAGCAGUGCAGGUGGGACUGGAGGAAGCUCAGGGUGGGCAGCUGUGAUCUGAGGUAGCUCUAAGCUGUGAGCUGUGGCUAACUUUGCUGUAUAUGUUGCCUUUGCUGCUUUUAAAUGAAUUAUUUUUGUGGAUGAGCCCUGUUUCAGUUUUGUUGUAUGUGAACCUAGCUGCGGUAAAGUUUUUACAUCAGUUAAGCUGAACCUGAUCUUUCUGGUAAAGUGUAUCAGCUUUGCCCAAGCAAUCAUGUGAGAGAAAAAGUCCACCAGUAUUAUCUAUUAUCAGACAAUUUCUUUUAAAUCAUUGUUUCUGCCUCACUGUUUUUCUGGCAGGGGGAAAGGAAGAUGAACACCUUAGCAGCACUUGUUCAGCUGUGAGACAGGUAGAAUUGUAUGGUUACACAGCUGUCCACUUAGCAUCCUGUGCGUAUGGUGUGAAACUGCAGACACAUUUACGGGAACACCAACUGCAAACUAGCCAUUGGGCUGCUGAGAGUGUUCUGCAAACACUGCCCUGGGGGUCACACUCCCUGCUUGAGAUCAAUCUGCUGUCCUGCACAGGGAGGCUGUGGGGAUGCCAAUGUGCAGCAGAGGGGAGAAGUGAAAAUUGCUCAGUGCUCUACAGGGUUUGUGGAGGACAAGUUAAAGUGUUGAAGAAAGACGGGAAGAUGGAGGAACUUGUCUUGACUUCUUGCUCCCAAAUCUCCAGAGAACUGCUACUAGGGGAACAAUGAAUAUGGUCUGAAGGCUUUUAACGAAUCAGUCAUCUUUUCACCUCCUGCACCCAAUUCUGCAGCAACUUGCUACUGUAGGAGCAUUAUGUUAUGGAGCGUUUAUGAAGAAUCUGUGGGAAAUUGGACAGAAAAAUAAUGGUGAUGCUACUUUAAACUGGAAGGCUUCUCAGUAUGCUCAGCUUUCCCUCAUCAUCGCAAAUAAAGCGACUCCAUUGAAAUAAGCUUGCACCUGGCUGAUCAUCCUCGAGGCAUCAGAGAAACUAAGCAAGCAUAGAAAGAAAAAUAUCUCUAAGGAAAGCACCGUCCCUCAAUACUCCCCAUCGGUGAGAUUUCAGAAAACUGGGACCCUGUCCUCAUGUGUUGGAUAUUGAUUAUGCCUUGGCUAUACAUCCGACUCUUGCAAGUUGCUUAUGUUGCUUCAAAAGCAUCAAAGACGUUUCACCAGCUUAAACUGACGCUGGCUAAAAAUUAACUUGUUGAACUAUUUGUCCUUGUUCGUUAAUGUUCCGGACUAACUGUACUAGGUACCAGCCCAAAUGUGGCUUAACUCAGUACUGCAGAAUUUUAAGUGAAUUGAGUACUUCAUUGUGUGCUCUUCCAGUGUUUGUACCACUUGCCUUAGGCUCUCAGGAUGCUACAAACAAAGAAUUUAGCAGUGAUUAAACUCUGCUGCACCCUGUCCGUGUUGUAGCACAGCAUGACCUUGCCUAUGCAGAUAGAGCCAAAUGGUGCAAUUACUGUGUUUAAAAAAGGCCCUGCAUGACUGAGCUCUCUGCAGGGGUCUGAAAGCAUUUGCAAUAGGUUCUAGCAGAGCGUUGGCUUGCCUACUUCGGCCGUUUCAAACAUGUUAGGGAAGCUUACUGUGCUGGGAACUGCAUUUGAACUCUUUCUCUGCAUUUCUAUGCAGAGGAGUGUGUCAUAUUUAGGAAACACGGAGGCUGAGCCUCCUGUAGGAGUUGUGAGAGUCUGAAAAGUGAGAUAAAAUGCAGUCAGUAGCGGUAUGAUGCUGGUGCAGUGUAACCCUGGCGCAGUUUCAGCUCAGAAGAGCUAACGACGGCUGGAGGGUUCUCAGCGAGGAACCAAGCCGUGGGCUCUUCAGCAAAAUUCAAGAGCUGAGGCACGGCACAGCUCUGCCUCCCUCCUGCUAGAAGAGCAGCUGGGUCACGUAAAUCCUCACUGCUCCUCUGCUCCUCCUCCCUUUCCAGAUGAGGCAGUGUGUCCAUGCAACUGCCUGUCCUUGAGGGAUAUUUCAAGGCAAAGGGCUGAAUGCUCCCUGCCAGUGUCAGCUCUCUGUCCGGCUGCACACCGUGCCUGAGAGCAGGUGGGGAAG